AGAGUUUGAUCAUGGCUCAGAUUGAACGCUGGCGGCAUGCCUUACACAUGCAAGUCGAACGGUAACAGGUCUUCGGAUGCUGACGAGUGGCGAACGGGUGAGUAAUACAUCGGAACGUGCCCAGUAAUGGGGGAUAGCUCGGCGAAAGCCGGAUUAAUACCGCAUACGCCCUGAGGGGGAAAGUGGGGGACCGCAAGGCCUCACGUUAUUGGAGCGGCCGAUGGCUGAUUAGCUAGUUGGUAGGGUAAUGGCCUACCAAGGCGACGACGGGUAGCCGGCCUGAGAGGGUGACCGGCCACACUGGGACUGAGACACGGCCCAGACUCCUACGGGAGGCAGCAGUGGGGAAUUUUGGACAAUGGGGGAAACCCUGAUCCAGCAAUGCCGCGUGUGCGAAGAAGGCCUUCGGGUUGUAAAGCACUUUUGUCAGGGAAGAAAUCCUUUGGGCUAAUACCCUAGGGGGAUGACGGUACCUGAAGAAUAAGCACCGGCUAACUACGUGCCAGCAGCCGCGGUAAUACGUAGGGUGCAAGCGUUAAUCGGAAUUACUGGGCGUAAAGCGUGCGCAGGCGGUUGUGUAAGACAGGUGUGAAAUCCCCGGGCUUAACCUGGGAAUUGCAUUUGUGACUGCACGACUAGAGUGUGUCAGAGGGGGGUGGAAUUCCACGUGUAGCAGUGAAAUGCGUAGAUAUGUGGAGGAACACCAAUGGCGAAGGCAGCCCCCUGGGAUAACACUGACGCUCAUGCACGAAAGCGUGGGGAGCAAACAGGAUUAGAUACCCCGGUAGUCC
rnacentral:rRNA from 1 species